GACGUAGGGGGCAAGCGUUGUUCGGAAUUAUUGGGCGUAAAGCGCUCGUGGGCGGGACAGGAAGUUCGUGUUGAAAGACCUCGGCUCAACUGAGGGACCGGCUCGAAUACUCUUGUUCUUGAGGCAAUCAGAGGGUGAUGGAAUUCCCGGUGUAGCGGUGAAAUGCGUAGAGAUGUGGAGGAACACCAGUGGCGAAGGCGACUUUCUGGCCUAUAACUGACGCUGAGGCGCGAAAGCGUGGGGAGCAAACAGG
rnacentral:rRNA from 1 species